GAAGAAAGGAGGCACAUGGCAGUGAACGUGUCAAAUAAAACCGAACACAAAAAAGUGAGGCACCGAAUAAAACCAAAUGUUAAAGGUGGCACUGGCAGUUACACUCUUCUCUUCACCCUCCCUCCCCUCCUAAUUCCCUCUCUACUCUCUUCUCUUUCUUUCACACCUGCACAGCCAGAUCAACUUCAGCUUUGGAGGGUUUACAAGUUCAAUCCUAGUUUGCUCUCCUUUGAAGAAGCUGUGAAAAUGGAAAUUUCGGAAUCACAAGGUGUUGGAUAUGGAAACAUUGCCACCAAUGGCAAUGGCAAUAUCAAACCAGAACCAUCACCCCAAGAUCAACCACAAGAAGAAGAUCAACCAUCCAAAGACGGUUCAUUGUCUUCUCUCCAUAAGCAAAACUCAAUCUUCUCACUCACCUUUGAUGAGAUUCGAUGCAAGAGUGGGAGGAGUUUUGGGUCGAUGAACAUGGAUGAAUUUCUUGCAAACAUUUGGAGUGUGGAAGAAAAUGAAGUCCCUAAUUCACAGCUCAACCAGGAUGAACCACCAGUAGAAGCUGCCCCACAUGAAAGAAAAAGCAAUACUGAUGCUGCUGCAGCACAACCAGGCAGUCUUGCUAGACAAGGCUCUUUCUCCAUUCCCAUCCCACUCUGCAAGAAAACCGUCGACGAAGUUUGGUUUGAGAUCCACAAGGAUCGGCCUCCGCCACUGCAAGAGGCGAACAACAAUUUCCCUUGUUUCGGUCCUCAACGCCAACAAACACUAGGAGAGAUGACCCUGGAAGAUUUCCUUGUCAAAGCUGGGGUUGUUCAAGAGUCAUCAAACAGGGCUUCUCGAAACAGAACGGUGACACAAACACCAAAUCAACAGCGAUGUGGUAAUAACAUGCCAAACAACAACGAUGCCUGUUUGGACACACAGCUUGGAAUGGGACAUCAUGUGAUGGGAUCGGGAUCAGGAUCGGGAUAUACUAAUCCCCAACAUGGGACAGCUCAUUGCCCUGGAAGUAGCAAUGGUUUUGGAACAUAUCAGAUGUUUGGACAGAGUAACAUUCUUGUGGGUGGUGGUGAAGUGUCUAACACUUCUAAUGAUGCAAUUGAGAAAUGCCAUAGUUUGACAGAAUCAGGUGGUUUAAAGAACAGGAAGAGGAUAGUGGAUGGUCCACCGGAGGUUGUGGUGGAGCGGAGGCAACGCAGGAUGAUUAAGAACCGCGAAUCAGCAGCGAGGUCUAGAGCUAGAAAACAGUACAGGCCUAUACUGUGGAACUGGAAGUUGAGCUGAACCAGCUCAGGGAAGAGAAUGAGAAACUGAAGCAAAUGGUGACUGAAACCGAGCAAAAGCGAAAGCAAGAGGUAUUGAGAAGGAAACAAGCAACAAUGUCAACAAAGGCCCAGAAAUUAGCAGAUAAAUUGAAGACUAUAAGGAGGACAGUGAGCUCGGCUUGGUGAAUGUAAUUAAAAAAGGUGCAUGGAAUAAUGCAAUUUGGACCCAUAAUUAUGUACAUAUAGUUGGUGAAUAAGAGAACAUGUAAAAUAGUAGCA